CCCAACACAAAUGACUUUUUAACUUGUUAAAGGCAGAGGCUAUGUUCUGCAGAAUCUUCAGGAGAACAUUUGGACAGUUAAAAAGCAAAAACAACCCCCCCUAGUAUUAAUGCCCUGAAAGUCCAUGUCUAAAAAGAAAGAGGAACCUAGUCAGGGUCCCCAUGGGGGACUCUACCUCCCAUCCACUUCUGUUUCCCCAUGACAUAAACCAUGAACCAGAGUGUGUUCUGCUGAUACAACACCCCAGCCCAUAUCCCUCAUAGAAUAGUAAGUGAGAUACUUUGGAAGAUGCUUAAAGCAUGGACCAAAGUUAAUGGAAACCAUGCAGCUCUUGUACAGUGAGGUCACUAGAAAGUAAACCCCCACAUAGUAUCUUUGUAAGCCACACCUUUAUUGACACAAUUUUUGCUUAUGGCAAGAUAAAGUAUUAUCUUGCCAUAAGCAAUCUGCUUAUUUUAUAUAUAUGUACACACACACAUACAUAUAUAUAUAAUAUAUUAUCUUAUUUAUAGAGUGCUUACUAUACCAGACUGUCUUUUAGGAGCUAAGGAUGCAGAAAUAAACAUGACCCUUCCCUCCAAUCUGUCUUUGUGCAGGACACAUACAUUUUGUUGCUACAGAUAGCAAUAAAUAUGUAAAUAAUAAACAAAUAAUAAAAUGUGCAGGUAUUUACAGGUAGUAACUAAUAGGGUGCAGAGCAGUCAGGGUGGUCAGGGAAUCUCUCUAUGAUGAACUAAUAUUUAAACAGAAAUUUGGAUAAUGUGAAGGAGAUACCACAGGAAGUUCUGGCAGAAGAAGGGCUCAGCCAGGCAGAACAGCAAGGACAAAGACCCUGAGAGGGAAUGCCAGCAUCUUUAGGAAAUAGCAGGAAGGCCAGUGUGGCUGGUUCAGGCUGCACUGAAUAAAGAGAAGAACUAGAACUGUAGCCAGGGUUUGAAUUAUGCCUCAUAAAAUGUAUAAGGAAUUAGGAUUUUAUUCUGAGUACGAAUGGAGAAGAGCAUCUUUUCAGGGAGGCCUUAUCUUGUGGAGGAGCACUUCCAAUGUUUAAACUACAUAAACUAUAUAAAGUCUGAGGAAUAGGCCUUAGCUGUCCCUUCCCAACACAUUACAUAUAAUAUAUACAUAAUAGUGCUUAGGGCUAUAUAAAUUCCUAUUUCAUUUCAGUAUCUAUCUAUCUAUCUACCUAAUCUAUCAUCUCUAUCAUCUAUUUAUCUACCUAUCAUCUAAUCUGCAUUGCAUUUUAUUAUUUAUCUUGCUUGCAUUUCAAGAGCAUCACAUUCACUACACACUAAGAGGGGCACAGUGGAGGUAUGGUGGGGGAGCGAGGAGUGAAGGCCAGUUAGGAGGUGCUUGCACAGUGCAGGGAGAUGAAGGCUGUUUGGGUUAGUGGUUUGGCAGUUGUAUUGAUAAGAUUUUUAGCUUAAGAUACAGGGAAGGAGUAAGGAUAGAGAUGGUAGGAGAGGUCAAAGGAUUGUAUAGAAGGAAAUUGAUUCCAAGGUGCCUGAGACAACAAAAUCUAGGGAGCUGGGCAUAUAAGCCUAGGGGAGAGUUCUGGGCUGGUGAGAUAAAUUUGGUUGUCUAUAUCAUAAGGAUGGUUUUUAAAGACAAGUAAGAUCGCAUAAAGAGUAAGAAUGGUUAGAAACUAUAUCUCAGGACUUGGCCUUAGAACUUCUAGUACUUGGGAGAAAAAGCAGGAUAAUUCAGCAAAGAAAAUUUAGAAAGAGGUACCAAUGAGUUAGGAGAAAACCCAGUGCAGUUUAGUCUCCUGAAAGUCAAGUAUAAAAAUGUUUCAAGAAAGAGAAAGUAUUUUAUGUGAAAACCUGCUGAGAGGUUAAGUAGGGUGGCAUUGUAACAUGAUUUGAGUUGAGAUUUUUCCAUUGGAUUUGGCACUAUUGAGCUUUCUGAUAUGAGGGCAGUUUAAUACAGUGGUGGGGAGACAUAGAGCCUUAAUAAUGCUGUAUGUAUUAGUUUCUUUUGCUGCUGUAACAAAGCAAAAUAACCUUAAUGUCUUAAAACAAGACAAGUCUAUUAACUUACACUUCUGGAGGUCUACAGUCCAAAAUGUGUCUUCUGAGAUAAAAUCAAAGUGUCAGAAGAGCUGCAUUUCUUCUGAUGACUCUAGAGGAGACUUUGUUUCCUUGCCUUUUCCAUCUACAGUCACCUACAUUCCUGAAUCCGUGGCUUCUUCCUCCCAAAUUUGUUGUACCAUUAAAUUCUAAAACGUUCCUUGGCAUUUUCUACUCUAGACCAGGUCCACAUUAGAAAGAGAAAGUACAAUUGCCACCAAUGGCCAGGAAAUGGUAUUGGUAAAGAACUUGUCAUAUGACCCUGCAGGAGGUAGAGAUCCACUAGGUGAGCCAAUGAUAGAUGUAUUAAUGAUGUGCCACUGGAAAGGUCCUUUUUCAGAGCAUUGUUCCAAGGCUCCUGAGCAAGAAUGAAAAUAGGAUCAUUUGUAGCAUACACAGAAUUACUUGGAUAUUUUUUCAGGUUUAAUCACCUCAGUGUUAUUUAUGGACAAUCCUCUUGGUUAAAACACAUUCUAGCCAUCCCUUUAUUCAUUCCAUUCACUUCUUACUCUAAGGUAGGUUAGGCUCCCCAAUGGCAUUCACCUGAGAAAUUCUGAGAAGUUACAUGAAUGCUUAAAACUCAGCAGUGAAAUUAGAAGCUAAACUCAGAUAAGGAAGCAGAAUUAGCUAAGAACAAUAAAGGCAUCUUGCUCCUCAGGAAAUCUUAAGAUAAAUAGAGGAGAUGCUGAUAAUGCAAUGCCAAAGGAUUACCAAUCCACUUAAGGUUUUAUACAACUAGAACCAAGCAUUCAGAGUGCCUGUUUUCUUAAUCUCUUGAGAGCAAAAACCAAAAUGGUGAAAGAAUAUCUUCUUUUUUGGAAAACUCCAAUUCAGGGAACUUUCAACAUGUGCUGUAGAGUAACUAGCUUUUACAAUUCCAUUAUCCAGUGACUCUAUCUGUAGGAAACUUUUUAAAUAGAGUACCAGCAGAAAAUAUAUCCCAAUUUCAAAAUCAAGGUCAAAGGUUUUUACUGAUCAGAAAAUGUGUCUUGUCCUCUAAGAAUUUAGUAGGAAUUUGAAUAGUUGAAAUCAUUUGGUGCCCUUGAGGGUUUGCUAGUGGGUCUCCUCCCCUCCUGUGAUAUAAUUAAUCCUCACUUCCAUGGCAACCAUGUGUAAUACUACCAAUGGGAAGAGUGGCUUUACACUGGAGAAUAACCAGAAUGAAGAAACUCUUUACAGAAGAUCUUAAACCCCUCUGAUGUACUGAGAGAAAAAAACUCGAAUCUUCAUGGAUAGGAAAGAGCUGAUCUCAGAAUAGAAGUGAAAAUGCCCAAGAGCUGCCCAGUGAGUGAGUAGGUGGGAGAGCCUUCACUGUCACAUUUGAUUGGACACCCCCAUUCUGAUCAGAGGGCAGCACAGAAGAGCCACUGGUGUACUUCUAGUUGCUACAUAACCCCACAGGCAGACACUCUGACAGCUUCAGAGUCCUGUCCUUGCCUUGAACAGGGAGCUGCUUACAGGCUUUCAACCAACCCCCACAUCUCUUUCCCUGGUCUCUUUAUCUUCUCUGAUGACAGAGCAGUCUCAUGCUUAAUUGGGAAUUUGAGAUGUCCAAGUCCUCUACCUCUGUCUUACCUCCAGGUCUUUGUGUUACCUACCACCUAGUAGACUAUUUCUAUAGGGCACUAUCUAAUCUUCUUGAUGGUGACACCACUUGCCCAUAGAUCACACACGUGGAUUUCUAACUCUCGGAUACUUUAUGUCUAGUAUUUUGAAUUCUGAGCCCUGCCCUUCAUUUCCCUCUUCCAGUCCAAUGGCCACAUUCAUUUACGCAGAGGUACUUAAUUGUCAACUUCUUCCUAAAUCUCACCAACUCUUCCAACCUACCACCAUCCUUACUUACUAAGCAACUUUGUUCUCUCUCUCUUUCAUGUACUUACUAGAUUCAACCAUUUUCUCUAAAAUUUUACAUUAGAGCAAAACUAAAGCAAAGUGAGAAAAGACAUACAGGUAAGAAAAAGCUCUUUGUCUAGGGAGCUCAUGCAUGCUGAGGUGUGUGAGACAGAAAUGACUGUCAGAGUCUGUGGGAGUGUGAGUAAAAGGUUUGCUCCAAGAGGGGACCCUGCUUCUGUGCUUGGUGCUUUACACUGAAUGCCAAGUAUAUAUGCACAGCCUUUUAACAGUGGGCUGACAUCUAAAAGUGCCCUGUAUGUCACUAAAGAGCAUCACCAUUAACAUAAAAAUUUAUAGGCAUGUUGCUUCAUACUCCAUGUAUACACUCAAAGAAUCAGCCAUCUAAUUGUGGAUAUUUAAAACAGAAUGAAAACCUGAUGCUAAAUACCAGGCCUGCAAUCUGGGGCAAUAUGUUUUCAACCAUUGCUUGAAAAUGCUGUUUUUGCUGUUGUCUUAAGAACAUAUGAUUAUAACAGACAAUAAUGUGCCAAUAUUUCCCUUUCUUAUCCAUUUCAUGCUUGACAAUAAAUAUUCUUUGUAGUAUGAUUGGCAGAGAUACUAAAAUACCUAACCUAUCAAAUAGUAUUUAAUAAAAGUCUUUUGUCUACAGUCAGCUCAGGGAGUUUAGUUUAAGGAUUAUAUGUAGGAACAGUUUAAUUAAUAUGCAUACUUUAACUGACAUAUUUUAAAAUACUUGGCUAACCUAAUAACGUCAGAGUUAAUAGCACAAAAAUAUCAUGUGGAUCACAGAAAUUGUAAGCCUCAUGAAAAAGGUGCUAAAGAAGUACUUGUUGAAUAUUUGACAAAUGGAAUACUGAGUUGCAUGUGCAAUGGAAGUGACAUUUAACCUUGGUGACUUUUUUUUGAGGUGAUGACUCUUAGAGCAUGGUGCAGAUAAUGCAAGACAUCUCCAGGUACAGGUCAUUGAGAAAUGAACCAUCUUCUAAUCAUAUUCUACUUUCACAAAUGUCCUUUCACAUGUGUUAAGGUGUUGGGGGGCUACAAAACUGAAAGGGGUAAAUUAUUAGGAAAACAGGUGCUGGAGCUUGAUUUUAAAAAGUCAGAUUCAGGUGAAUGGAAGCAAAAUUUCUUAGCUUUGUCUAAGUUGCAGAAAUGAUAAUCUCAGGUGUUUUCUACAAGUUAAUUUUUAAUUUCAUGAAAAGAAUUCAUUUCAGUACCAGAAAAAACCCAAUUCUGGCCUCAUUCCUGCCAUUAUCUUGCUAUGUGGUUUUGGAAAAGUUAAUAGAACUCUCUGUGUACUGGGUUCCUUAAAAUGGGUGUGUCAGUUUUUAAUUCUCAGAAUGUUAUUAGGAGCAAAUAAAAUAAUAUAUAUGCAACAUAUAGUGCUUUCAGUGAUACAUAAUGACCUGUGCCAAAUUGCUCUCAACUUGAAAUCACUAUCACCCCUUCUUCAGUCUCCUCUAUGUAGUGCAAAGGAACCACACAUGGCUCCCAGAAUCUCUUUCUGCAUGUGGUUCCAGAUGAUAGUCAGCCAAUGAGAGGCAUUCUCAUGAGAUAUGGCUGGAACAGAAGAAUCCAUUCUUCUCUAGUGGCAGGUGAGAAUAGUUUUAUAGGAAGACCCAGACACAAGGUCAGCAGCAGCUGCCGCCAAACACCUAGGCAUCGUUUUGUACUACAAGUUGCUAAGAUCAAUGGUGGCAGCUCCCAGACACUUGAGGUUUGCCACAGCUUCUUUGCCAGCUCCCUGCAAUCACCUCCUUCCAGCAGAAGUUUCCUGACUUUUACUGCCCUACCCUUUCCAGCAGGUAGCUGCCUAAGCUCUAAAAUCUUCCUCCUCAGAAUGUCUUAACGGACUUCUGUGUUCCUGAUGCACUGGUGAGUGAUACAUAACCAUAAAUUUCCUGCUCCUUCCAAAUCAUGCCCAUGAACCUUAAAAAAGGGAGAAAAAUUCUGAGUGACUUUGCUUCAGGCUAUAAAGUGGACAAGUAGCCUGAAACAAACACACAACCAUCACAAGGCACCUACUAUGUUGCUGUAAGAUAUUUCUGGAACUAUUUUUAAAUAUUUGACUUAUUGAUAAGAAAGUAAUGGAAAUUCCCUCAAACUAAAAGAAAACAGAAGAGUAUCUGACAAAGAGAGUGAGGUAUAGGCAAUAUUUAAGAAGACAAUCACUGAUUGUUUCCUGGAAUUUAUAAAAAAUUAAUCCUCUGAUUCAAAAGGUGCCCCCCAAAAUGCCACCCAGGACAAAGGGCAGACAUGUAGCCACUUGUAUGACACUACAUACAUUUAUUCAAAGACAAUAUCCAAGAAGCCGCCAAUCUGGGAUCCAGGCUUCAGAACUGCCUCCUCUAUAAGAAGAUGAGUUUCCCAAAAAGAAGUUACUGUUAGACUGAUAGCUGAUUUUUCAAUAGCAACAAAGAAGCCAGGAGAUGAUUGAAUAACAGCUUCAAAGUAUUAAAGAAAAAAACUGCCAACCUAUUUACUCCCUGAAAGUAUAUGAACAUAUUUUCAGACACACAAAAA